rnacentral:rRNA from 1 species
UAGGGAAUAUUGGGCAAUGGGCGAAAGCCUGACCCAGCCACGCCGCGUGAGUGAUGAAGGCCUUCGGGUCGUAAAGCUCUGUGGGGAGGGACGAACACGAGCCGGUCUAACACGUCGGCUCUCUGACGGUACCUCCUUAGCAAGCACCGGCUAACCAUGUGCCAGCAGCCGCGGUAAUACAUGGGGUGCAAACGUUGCUCGGAAUUAUUGGGCGUAAAGCGCGAGUAGGCGGUUACUUAAGUCGGAUGUGAAAGCCCUCGGCUUAACUGAGGAAGUGCACCCGAAACUGAGUAGCUAGAGUACGAAAGAGGGUCGCGGAAUUCCCGGUGUAGAGGUGAAAUUCGUAGAUAUCGGGAGGAACACCGGUGGCGAAGGCGGCGACCUGGGUCGAGACUGACGCUGAUCCGCGAAAGCGUGGGGAGCAAACAG